UUUAAUCACCAUAUCUCUUACGGUAACCUAACUUAACACACACAGUUAACAUCAACGUUCUCUCUUGCAGGCGAAGUCAGCGAUGUCGGGUCUCUCCCGCCCACAUGACCUUAGAGCUGGCAGGAGACGGCACCACACAGCCUGUCAUCGCCACUCGGUCCGUUUUACCACCAGCAGCGAGAGAGGGAGGUUGAGGUGUGGAGGACUCGUGGCGGGACGCUGAAGGAGGUAGUGAAGGAGUGGAGGUGUGAAGUGUGCAGUUUCCACUUCACCAUCCCCUGAACAGCCCACAAGAAUCUCUACCAACACCUACUAUUGCACUCACUACUGGUGGUAUCUGGUUAUUAAACAGUGCUGCCAUAUCAGGCCUGACAUUGUUCAUUGCAAUCAGGGAGUCAAGUUUCAUCAGGAAGAGAGGCCGAAUGUCGCAAUUUUCAAGCCUGACAAGUGUAAGAAGUAUCAUCAGGAAAUAGAAAAUAGCCUAGUACAAGAGUUUUCAUUGCAAUGAAGGAAGUCAAGAGUGGAAGAGUGAAUAAUUUCUAAUAUAAUUUCUGUGUGUGUGUGUGUGUGUGUGUGUGUGUGUGUGUGUGUGUGUGUGUGUGCUGAUGCGGCUGAGAAGGUUGCCUUAUGAUAAUUAUUGACAAAUGGAGGUAAUGGAUGUGCAUGUCAUUAAUACUUUUUUAUGUGUGUGUGUAUGUGUGUGUGUUAUGUAUACACACAAAAACACACACACACACACACACACACACACACACACACACACACGCACAAAGAGAAGUAAUAGACACGCAUCCUUUACCUUCAUUCAUCAAUAAUUGCCAUAAGACGACCUUCCCAGCUGCAUCACUACACACACACACACACACACACACACACUUACACAUCAUGUAGUGUAGUUGUUAGCACGCUCGGCUCACAACCAACAAGGCCCGGGUUCGAAUGGCGGGCACAGUGAGGCAGAUGGACAAGCCUCUUAAUGUGUAGCCCUAGUUCACCUAGCUGCAACGAGGUACAGGAGGUAACCCGAGGUGAUGUGACUUCGCUGCCCCGGUGUGUGGUGUGUCAUUGGCCUCAGUCCUACCCAAAGAUCAGUCACCAUGAGCUCUGAGCUCUUACACACACACACACACACACACACACACACACACACACACAGAGAGAGAGAGAGAGAGAAAGAGAGAGAGAGCAAAAUGACAAUGAAUGAAACAGGGAGGAGGGGGAACUGUGUGUGAAUGAAACACAAACCAAAAUACCUGAGUAUGGAGAUGGCUGGACUACCUCCUUUGGCCACCCCUGUUAUAUCUUAAUUUCCCACUGUCUUUCCUGUGUGCUGGUUAAGCUACUCACUGCUGAAGUCCCUGGAAACUAGGUAGAAUAAUUUAGAAUGACAUGGUUAAGUUAAUGCUGAUAAAAUCUCAUUUGUAAUAUUCAGGAAGAUUGAAUUAUUCUUCCUCUGUUGAAGCAAAUGAUAUAACAUUGACUAGAAGCUUUCACAAUAUUUAUAAGCUUUCUUGUAUCAGAGAUCUUUUGAAAAUCCAACCAUUAAUUUGUAAAUACUUGUAUAGUGUAGCUGGCAUGAGGGUUGCAGUCUUCAUUAUUUACUAGUGGACAAGCAACAAGUGAUGGUGUGGCUCUGAGCCACUGUAGUAGGGAUGUUAUGGUUUAAGUGUAGGAAGUUGCAAAUGCUCACCUAACAAUUGCACCUUAGUAGAAAAACACAAACAGGAAGUUUAUGCAAGUUUUUAUCCUUAUAUAAAAUGUUGUAUUGCAUCAAACCUCCAUACAUUACUGUCUCUAUCCAGUAUGAGACCGGUGUUCAGGAAGCACAAGCAUGUGCUGAAUAACAAGAAGCCGGCAUUGGUGAAGGUGACAACAUUUCAUCUAUUUAUACAUACUUUUUAUUAUUAAAGCUUAUCUUAUAAUUAUUUCUGAAGAGAUUGACUAAUUUUUGUAGUAUUUAUGACUUAGAACUAUGAUAAAGCUAUGAAUUGAUAUAAUUCCUGAUUUGUUUUAUCUUUUCAUUAUCCUUCCUUUGUUAAUUGAGCAUUUUAUAUUACUUAGCUUAAAAAUGCAAGAACGGUUCAGAAGUAUCCAACCUUGGGCUAAGGGCCAAAAUUAUGGUAUCAUUCAAAUGUCCUUCAAAGAAAGCCCUCUGUAAUCCAACACACUUAGCCCAUUAAUCCUUCCAUUUCUCAUCAAUUUGUUCAACAUACAUAUUUUUCCCUUAUAGGGUUGAACAAUUUUCAUGGGUUCAGAGCAAAAGGCUUCCUCAUUCCUCCCCAAGGUAUUCUCGGAUGGUAAGCAGGUUUGACUCUGGAGCAAACCUGACCAAGGGCUACUGCCCAAGGCUACAGAGGUUCCUCUCCCUGAGGCUGAAUGCACCAUGUGAGAUGGUUCUGUUAUGUGGAUGAAUGUCAUGGUGGAUAGCAGUGCCACCACAUUCCUACAAUCAUCCAUCACUCCACUGCUCAAACGCUUCUGCAACCAAUGAUAGGUAUGCUGCCACAUUCUGCAUGGUCUCCUUGGCUCUCAGAUAAGGAUACUGUCAACAGGUUUGGGAUUGCCAAAAAAUCAUAAGGAGCUAUGUCUGAAAAGUUCAGAGAGAGAGAGAGAGAGAGAGAGAAAGAAUGAGCAAGAGAAAGAGUAGGAUGAAGCAAAGGAAGAGUCAAGAGGGAGGAAGAGAGAGUAGGACAAGAAAAAACAGAACAAAUAAAUCCCCUACACGUCUUGUCUCCAUUCACACAAGCCAUGAAAAGCUUGUCCAUCCCUGAGUGCUCAGAAGCAGUGUUCCACUGAUGAUGUGGAAACUUGAGACACCCAAUCAUUUAAUGGGCUUUAGUAGGUUUUGUCACCAGUCUUCUGUGUGUCACUGACUACAUUUUGAAAUUUUUAUCUGUUCUAUUUAAUUUUGUGUGUAUGUACACAAUGUUUAUGGUCAAUAAACUAUUUAUAAAACUAUUUAUCUGUGUGAGUAAGAUAAAAGCAGUUAUUAUUAUUAUUAUUAUUAUUAUUAUUAUUAUUAUUAUUAUUAUUAUUAUUAUUAUUAUUAUUAUUAUUAUUACACAUUUUCCUCCUUGUAUUUAAAUAUUAUUAUUAUUAUUAUUAUUAUUAUUAUUAUUAUCAUGAAUUGUUCUUGUUUAUAAAUAAAAUACUGUAACUGA